rnacentral:rRNA from 1 species
AGAGUUUGAUCCUGGCUCAGGACGAACGCUGGCGGCGUGCCUAACACAUGCAAGUCGAACGAAGCUUUGAGGAGCUUGCUUUUUAAAGCUUAGUGGCGGACGGGUGAGUAACGCGUGAGCAACCUGCCUCUCAGAGGGGGAUAACGUUUUGAAAAGAACGCUAAUACCGCAUAAUAUAUCGGAACCGCAUGAUUCUGAUAUCAAAGGAGCAAUCCGCUGAGAGAUGGGCUCGCGUCCGAUUAGUUAGUUGGUGAGGUAACGGCUCACCAAGACUACGAUCGGUAGCCGGACUGAGAGGUUGAUCGGCCACAUUGGGACUGAGACACGGCCCAGACUCCUACGGGAGGCAGCAGUGGGGGAUAUUGCGCAAUGGGGGAAACCCUGACGCAGCAACGCCGCGUGAAGGAAGAAGGUCUUCGGAUUGUAAACUUCUUUUGUCAGGGACGAAGAAAGUGACGGUACCUGACGAAUAAGCUCCGGCUAACUACGUGCCAGCAGCCGCGGUAAUACGUAGGGAGCGAGCGUUGUCCGGAUUUACUGGGUGUAAAGGGUGCGUAGGCGGCCGAGCAAGUCAGUUGUGAAAACUAUGGGCUUAACCCAUAACGUGCAAUUGAAACUGUCCGGCUUGAGUGAAGUAGAGGUAGGCGGAAUUCCCGGUGUAGCGGUGAAAUGCGUAGAGAUCGGGAGGAACACCAGUGGCGAAGGCGGCCUACUGGGCUUUAACUGACGCUGAGGCACGAAAGCAUGGGUAGCAAACAGGAUUAGAUACCCUGGUAGUCCAUGCCGUAAACGAUGAUUACUAGGUGUGGGGGGACUGACCCCUUCCGUGCCGCAGUUAACACAAUAAGUAAUCCACCUGGGGAGUACGGCCGCAAGGUUGAAACUCAAAGGAAUUGACGGGGGCCCGCACAAGCAGUGGAGUAUGUGGUUUAAUUCGAAGCAACGCGAAGAACCUUACCAGGUCUUGACAUCCUGAGAAUCCUUAAGAGAUUAGGGAGUGCCUUCGGGAACUCAGAGACAGGUGGUGCAUGGUUGUCGUCAGCUCGUGUCGUGAGAUGUUGGGU